CAAUAGCGUAUAUUUAAGUUGUUGCAGUUAAAAAGCUCGUAGUUGGAUUUCGGAUGGGAUUUGCCGGUCCGUCGUUACGAUGUGCACUGGCCAGUCCUAUCUUGUUGUCGGGGACUAGCUCCUUGGAUUCACUUCCUGGGACUAGGAGCUGACGAGGUUACUUUGAGUAAAUUAGAGUGUUCAAAGCAAGCCUACGCUCUGAAUACAUUAGCAUGGAAUAACACGAUAGGACUCUGGCUUAUCUUGUUGGUCUGUGAGACCAGAGUAAUGAUUAAGAGGGACAGUCGGGGACAUUCGUAUUUCAUUGUCAGGGGUGAAAUUCUUGGAUUUAUGAAAGACGAACUUCUGCGAAAGCAUUUGUCAAGGAUGUUUUCAUUAA
rnacentral:rRNA from 1 species